rnacentral:rRNA from 1 species
UACGUAGGGAGCAAGCGUUGUCCGGAAUCAUUGGGCGUAAAGCGCGCGUAGGUGGCCAUGUAAGUCCGCUGUGAAAGUCGAAGGCUCAACCUUCGAAAGCCGGUGGAUACUGCAUGGCUAGAGUACGGAAGAGGCGAGUGGAAUUCCUGGUGUAGCGGUGGAAUGCGCAGAUAUCAGGAGGAACACCAAUAGCGAAGGCAGCUCGCUGGGACGUUACUGACACUGAGGCGCGAAAGCGUGGGGAGCGAACAGG